rnacentral:rRNA from 1 species
GAUGAACGCUAGCGGCAGGCCUAAUACAUGCAAGGCGAAGGGGCAGCAAUGUCACUGUCGUACGGGUGCGUAACGCGUAUGCAACCUACCUAUCACAGGGGGAUAGCCUUUGGAAACAGGGAUUAAUACCGCAUAAAGCAGGGACACCGCAUGGUGAUAUUGCUAAAGAUUUAUCGGUGAUAGAUGGGCAUGCGUCUGAUUAGUUAGUUGGCAGGGUAACGGCCUACCAAGACGAUGAUCAGUAGGGGGCGUCAGAGCGUGGUCCCCCACACUGGCACUGAGAUACGGGCCAGACUCCUACGGGAGGCAGCAGUAGGGAAUAUUGGGCAAUGGAUGCAAGUCUGACCCAGCCAUGCCGCGUGCAGGAAGAAGGUCCUCUGGAUUGUAAACUGCUUUUAUCGGGGAAGAAUAGUUUUCUUGCGAGGGAAUGUGACGGUACCCGAUGAAUAAGCCACGGCUAACUACGUGCCAGCCGCCGCGGUAACAC